UCGCACGUUGCCAAACAUGGUCAUUUGCGUCGCACUACGCGAGCGCGGGUUUCCUCGCCGCGGAUGACGUGCUCCGAGAGGGAUUCCCUGCUCCGCCGGCCGCCGCUCCGGCUGGAUUUAAAGGGGAACGGCGCCGCCGCGCCCGCCGUGCCGUGGGUUCGAGACCGCCGCCCGGCUCGGGGCGGGGGGGGGGGAUCCGGCCCGGGGGCGGCGGCGGUCUCCGGGGGGGAUCCGAGGAGCAGCCGCCGAGGCCCCGAGCCAGUGCGGAUCCCUUCGUCCUGCUGGGAGCCGGCUGCAGAGCCGCUCCGGCUCCCAAGCCGCAGCAUGUCACGGUAGCGGUAGGUAUCGAGUCGAGGCUGAUUUACGGCAAAAACUCGAGGACGAGGACUGUGACAACCCACUUCAAACGGGGGUUGCGUUGCGAGGUUAGCGCCUGAACCAGGCUGGAAGGCAGCGGCAGCAAUCGCGGCAGAGCUGUCCUCACCCAGAACAGGGACUUCUGAUGAUCUGCACAUGCUUGAUUCUGCUGGAAAGAGAAUUAGUUCAAGAUGCGAGAGGAAUUAGCCUGCAGUUGUUAAGAGACGAACAGAGACGGAAAAACACACAUUGUAAUAAAAAUAACCUUAACGAAA